AAACACAACAAUAUCCAGGUUGAAGAGUAAACCAUGAACCAAUCCGUGAUGACGUUGUUGACGCAAGUGACGCCGACGGAACCCGGAAGUGACGUCACAACACGGAAGUCGAUCAAAUUUUACCCGGGAAUUUCAGAGUUUACCAGACCUAUUUAAUGAGACUGUGAUCGGUUGUACCAUAUGCACCUUGGAAGAAGACGAAAGUCGAAACGCGUUGUGCC